AAUCCAUAGGUUAAUGAGGCGAACCGGGGGAACUGAAACAUCUAAGUACCCCGAGGAAAAGAAAUCAACCGAGAUUCCCCCAGUAGCGGCGAGCGAACGGGGAGGAGCCCAGAGCCUGAAUCAGCAUGUGUGUUAGUGGAAGCGUCUGGAAAGGCGCGCGAUACAGGGUGACAGCCCCGUACACAAAAGCGCAUGUGCUGUGAGCUCGAUGAGUAGGGCGGGACACGUGGUAUCCUGUCUGAAUAUGGGGGGACCAUCCUCCAAGGCUAAAUACUCCUGACUGACCGAUAGUGAACCAGUACCGUGAGGGAAAGGCGAAAAGAACCCCGGCGAGGGGAGUGAAAAAGAACCUGAAACCGUGUACGUACAAGCAGUGGGAGCCCCACCACCAAAGCAUUCUCUGGUGUUGAAGGCCCUGCAAAGCAGCAUCGCGGUGGCGGAGCGUCGUUUGCGACGCCCAACACACAAAACAAGCGGUGAAUGCUUUGGGGUGGGGUGACUGCGUACCUUUUGUAUAAUGGGUCAGCGACUUAUAUUCUGUAGCAAGGUUAACCGAAUAGGGGAGCCGGAGGGAAACCGAGUCUUAAUUGGGCGUUAAGUUGCAGGGUAUAGACCCGAAACCCGGUGAUCUAGCCAUGGGCAGGUUGAAGGUUGGGUAACACUAACUGGAGGACCGAACCGACUAAUGUUGAAAAAUUAGCGGAUGACCUGUGGCUGGGGGUGAAAGGCCAAUCAAACCGGGAGAUAGCUGGUUCUCCCCGAAAGCUAUUUAGGUAGCGCCUCGUGAAUUCAUCUCCGGGGGUAGAGCACUGUUUCGGCUAGGGGGCCAUCCCGGCUUACCAACCCGAUGCAAACUGCGAAUACCGGAGAAUGUUAUCACGGGAGACACACGGCGGGUGCUAACGUCCGUCGUGAAGAGGGAAACAACCCAGACCGCCAGCUAAGGUCCCAAAGUCAUGGUUAAGUGGGAAACGAUGUGGGAAGGCCCAGACAGCCAGGAUGUUGGCUUAGAAGCAGCCAUCAUUUAAAGAAAGCGUAAUAGCUCACUGGUCGAGUCGGCCUGCGCGGAAGAUGUAACGGGGCUAAACCAUGCACCGAAGCUGCGGCAGCGAACGUAUCACCCAAGACAACUUUACGGAGUUGACGAUUGACGGAGCGAAGCGACGUCAAAGCGUUCAUUAAAGUCGAGUUGGCUUAGGGAUACGUUCGUUGGGUAGGGGAGCGUUCUGUAAGCCUGUGAAGGUGUGUCGUGAGGCAUGCUGGAGGUAUCAGAAGUGCGAAUGCUGACAUAAGUAACGAUAAAGCGGGUGAAAAGCCCGCUCGCCGGAAGACCAAGGGUUCCUGUCCAACGUUAAUCGGGGCAGGGUGAGUCGACCCCUAAGGCGAGGCCGAAAGGCGUAGUCGAUGGGAAACGGGUUAAUAUUCCCGUACUUGGUGUUACUGCGAAGGGGGGACGGAGAAGGCUAUGUUGGCCGGGCGACGGUUGUCCCGGUUUAAGCGUGUAGGUGUGUGUUCCAGGUAAAUCCGGUUCACUUUAACACUGAGGCGUGAUGACGAGGCACUACGGUGCUGAAGCAACAAAUGCCCUGCUUCCAGGAAAAGCCUCUAAGCAUCAGGUAACAUCAAAUCGUACCCCAAACCGACACAGGUGGUCAGGUAGAGAAUACCAAGGCGCUUGAGAGAACUCGGGUGAAGGAACUAGGCAAAAUGGUGCCGUAACUUCGGGAGAAGGCACGCUGACACGUAGGUGAAGUGAUUUACUCAUGGAGCUGAAGUCAGUCGAAGAUACCAGCUGGCUGCAACUGUUUAUUAAAAACACAGCACUGUGCAAACACGAAAGUGGACGUAUACGGUGUGACGCCUGCCCGGUGCCGGAAGGUUAAUUGAUGGGGUCAGCGCAAGCGAAGCUCCUGAUCGAAGCCCCGGUAAACGGCGGCCGUAACUAUAACGGUCCUAAGGUAGCGAAAUUCCUUGUCGGGUAAGUUCCGACCUGCACGAAUGGCGUAAUGAUGGCCAGGCUGUCUCCACCCGAGACUCAGUGAAAUUGAACUCGCUGUGAAGAUGCAGUGUACCCGCGGCAAGACGGAAAGACCCCGUGAACCUUUACUAUAGCUUGACACUGAACAUUGAGCCUUGAUGUGUAGGAUAGGUGGGAGGCUUUGAAGUGUGGACGCCAGUCUGCAUGGAGCCGACCUUGAAAUACCACCCUUUAAUGUUUGAUGUUCUAACGUGGACCCGUAAUCCGGGUUGCGGACAGUGUCUGGUGGGUAGUUUGACUGGGGCGGUCUCCUCCUAAAGAGUAACGGAGGAGCACGAAGGUUGGCUAAUCCUGGUCGGACAUCAGGAGGUUAGUGCAAUGGCAUAAGCCAGCUUGACUGCGAGCGUGACGGCGCGAGCAGGUGCGAAAGCAGGUCAUAGUGAUCCGGUGGUUCUGAAUGGAAGGGCCAUCGCUCAACGGAUAAAAGGUACUCCGGGGAUAACAGGCUGAUACCGCCCAAGAGUUCAUAUCGACGGCGGUGUUUGGCACCUCGAUGUCGGCUCAUCACAUCCUGGGGCUGAAGUAGGUCCCAAGGGUAUGGCUGUUCGCCAUUUAAAGUGGUACGCGAGCUGGGUUUAGAACGUCGUGAGACAGUUCGGUCCCUAUCUGCCGUGGGCGCUGGAGAACUGAGGGGGGCUGCUCCUAGUACGAGAGGACCGGAGUGGACGCAUCACUGGUGUUCGGGUUGUCAUGCCAAUGGCACUGCCCGGUAGCUAAAUGCGGAAGAGAUAAGUGCUGAAAGCAUCUAAGCACGAAACUUGCCCCGAGAUGAGUUCUCCCUGAGACUUAGAGUCUCCUGAAGGAACGUUGAAGACGACGACGUUGAUAGGCCGGGUGUGUAAGCGCAGCGAUGCGUUGAGCUAACCGGUACUAAUGAACCGUGAGGCUUAACCUUACA
rnacentral:rRNA from 1 species